rnacentral:rRNA from 1 species
UACGUAGGGUGCAAGCGUUGUCCGGAAUUAUUGGGCGUAAAGAGCUCGUAGGCGGUUUGUCGCGUCUGCUGUGAAAUCUGGGGGGCUCAACCCCCCAGCCUGCAGUGGGUACGGGCAGACUAGAGUGCGGUAGGGGGAGAUUGGAAUUCCUGGUGUAGCGGUGGAAUGCGCAGAUAUCAGGAGGAACACCGAUGGCGAAGGCAGAUCUCUGGGCCGUAACUGACGCUGAGGAGCGAAAGCAUGGGGAGCGAACAGG